AUUUGUGAUGAUUAGAGACUUAAUUAUGUAUCCGAUUUCCUCUCAGGUUGACCACUUGACAUGUGAGAGCUUGAGGAGUUGUUCCACCUCCAUCCAUUUUCAAGGAUUUGCUCCCUUACUGCCUCCACUUCACCACUUUUCUGAGAAGUCUAUGAUUUGUUGAGUUGACCACCCUAUAUAUGAGAGCCUAAGGAGUUGUUUUCCCUCUGUCCCCUUUUGAGGACCAGCUUUGUCUCCUCCAUCAUUCACUGGGCCACUUUUAGGUCCUGAGCUUAUUUCAUGUGGUUUUCCUGACCUGCUAGAAGCUCUUCUAUGAUGCUUGAGUCAUCCAUCAUAUCUGAGAGCUUCGUCUUGACUUUGUCACGAAUUUGGUGAGGAGUGGAGCUGGCUGGCUGCGGACGAGAAAGUAUAGAGCAAUACAUACUUGUGCACAUACACGUAUAUGAGAAUGCAUAUCUAUUCAGACCUGUAACCCAUGUCUUAGACUUUUCACACAGCUAUAUAUAUAUAUUUUUUUUCCA